rnacentral:lncRNA from 1 species
AAAAACCCAAUUGAUAAAACCGAAUUGAAAACCCAAAUCCAAUUUUACGACCCGAAAUAAAAACCCACUUAAAAAUCCCCAAAUUGAAUAUCAUAAGAAUCCUACUUUCGAUUUUUUCUCUUGAGUCUCAUCUUUUUUUUUUUUUUUGUAAACCAACUUUAAUAUUAAAAUGACUCAUCUCCAUUUCUAGAGGAGAUGAACCAAGACAAAUUCUUGGGUGGAGAUACAUAAUGAAGGGAAAGCAAAAUGAAAUUUAGACCGAAGCUCACAAGUAUCCGCUAAGACAUCUUUGAACUCGUCUGCGAGGCCACCGACACUGUGAAGAAUCCUGAGAUCUUGACAAUUCGAAAAACAAGCCCGCCUUGAAACACCCAAA